CGUCAUAGAAUUAUAUUUUUGGCAUAUUUUAUUUUAUUUUUGCAGUCAUCCUCUGCAGCGCAGUCAAGUUGAAAUUAAUUUUCAAUUAAUAGAAGAAAAAAUACGCAAUUUGAAACAUAUUUAUGAAUAAAUUGAACUAGCCGCAAGCUUAAAUCAGAGCAUGUUGAAAAGCAAUUAAAGCCAGACGUUGCCAGGCUUAAAGUGGCCUCCUGCAAAUGUCCUUGAUGUAGCCUAGCAACCAUUGCCCAGCUCAGGUAUGCUGUUUGGCUGGCCAGCUAGAGGGCAGGAUAGGAUAGGGGUCAGAAGUAUGUAGGAGGUCUACAUAGUCAGAUUAACCACAAUCGAAUGCCAACGGCAACCGAUAGGCUUACAAUUAGCUAUGCUUACGCACUACAAAUGGCCAUUCAGCAUGCCAUGGUCAACAUGUUGGGCUCUGAUAAGCACCUGUCAUUGAAGUCGACUCUCAGAGUCUGAGAGUUACAAGCAGAGCGCAAACAACAAGACCAGAAGAAGAAAACAAACAAUCCGGAAAGUGUCUAUGAUGGACUGAGAGAUUUAUUAUUAUGUUCACUCUCGUAGUAUUAUUAUUAUUUGUUUAGCACAUCGAGAAGAGCAUCUGGCUACCAGCAAUGCAGCGAAUGGUGAAUAACUU